GCCGGAGUGGUGGAACUGGUAGACGCAGCGGACUCAAAAUCCGCCGGGGGCAACCCCUUGGGAGUUCAAGUCUCCCCUUCGGCACCA
rnacentral:tRNA from 1 species